UUAAGUCUAGCGGCAGACGGGUGAGUAAUAUUUGGGCAAUCUGCCCUUGAGUGGGGGACAACCUGCCGAAAGGCGGGCUAAUACCCCAUAAGACCACAGGGAUGCAUAUCCAAGGGGUCAAAGCUCCGCAAGGGGCGCUUGAGGAGGAGCCCGAAUCCUAUCAUGGUAGUUGGCGGGGUAAUGGCCCACCAAGCCGUUGACGGGUAGCCGGCCUGAAAGGGCAACCGGCCACACUGGCACUGAGACACGGGCCAGACUCCUACGGGAGGCAGCAGUGGGGAAUUUUGGACAAUGGGGGCAACCCUGAUCCAGCGACGCCGCGUGAAGGAUGAAGGUCUUCGGAUUGUAAACUUCUUUUGGAGGGGAUGAAUGGCUUGGUGAAGAGCCAAGUGUGACAGUACUCUCUGAAUAAGCCACGGCUAACUACGUGCCAGCAGCCGCGGUAAUACGUAGGUGGCAAGCGUUACUCGGAAUCACCAGGCGUAAAGCGCAGGUAGGAGGUUUGAUAAGUCUGUUGUGAAAGCUCCCGGCUUAACUGGGAGAGGUCAACGGAAACUAUCAGGCUAGAGUGCGGUAGAGGUAGCUGGAAUUCCCGGUGUAGCGGUGAAAUGCGUAGAUAUCGGGAGGAAUACCUAUGGCGAAAGCAGGCUACUGGACCGUCACUGACUCUGAUCUGCGAAAGCUAGGGGAGCAAACAGGAUUAGAUACCCUGGUAGUCCUAGCCCUAAACGAUGCUCAUUAGGUGUGGGAGGUAUCGACCCCUUCCGCGCCGUAGCUAACGCAUUAAAUGA
rnacentral:rRNA from 1 species